AUGAGGUCAUUGGUUCAAGUCCUGGAAACAGCCUCUUACAGAAAUGUAGGGAAAGAGAAUUAGCUAAAUCUCAAUCAAUUUGAGAGCCGUGGAUUCCGGACAUCAGGUUUUUUUGUGGUUGACGCUAGGAGAAAAGGUUCCGAGCAAGACUUUCAUUUUGCAACAUUGUUACAAGGUGGCUCUAAGUAAAUAAUUGUAAGCUGGGAGAAAUUAUGAAACAACAGUGAGAAGGUCGAGAUUGAGCAUCUCAAUUGAUGCCGACGAUGAAGCUGAAGAUGGGCAGCGCCGGGUCGGCAAUAUCCGGGACCCUGUGCCAAACUUUGAACUGGGGCCCAUCUUUUGGUGGCGGAGCUACAAAGAAAAAUAAAUAGGUGGACUAAACUAAAUGAGAGACCUGAUUAUUUUUCUGAAAUCGUAUAUAGUAGUAUUUCAGUAAUUUGCAAAAAUAAUAGUAUUUCAGUAGAAAUAUUAAAUACUCAGUACCUUUUGUUCUA